GAUGAACGCUGGCGGCGUGCCUAAUACAUGCAAGUCGAGCGAACUGAUUAGAAGCUUGCUUCUAUGACGUUAGCGGCGGACGGGUGAGUAACACGUGGGCAACCUGCCUGUAAGACUGGGAUAACUUCGGGAAACCGAAGCUAAUACCGGAUAGGAUCUUCUCCUUCAUGGGAGAUGAUUGAAAGAUGGUUUGGGCUCUCAAUUACAGAUGGGCCCGCGGUGCAUUAGCUAGUUGGUGAGGUAACGGCUCCCCAAGGCAACGAUGCAUAGCCGACCUGAGAGGGUGAUCGGCCACACUGGGACUGAGACACGGCCCAGACUCCUACGGGAGGCAGCAGUAGGGAAUCUUCCGCAAUGGACGAAAGUCUGACGGAGCAACGCCGCGUGAGUGAUGAAGGCUUUCGGGUCGUAAAACUCUGUUGUUAGGGAAGAACAAGUACGAGAGUAACUGCUCGUACCUUGACGGUACCUAACCAGAAAGCCACGGCUAACUACGUGCCAGCCGCCGCGGUAAGAC
rnacentral:rRNA from 1 species